rnacentral:rRNA from 1 species
CCUACGGGAGGCAGCAGGGAGGAAUAUGGGGCAAUGGAAGGAAGGCGGAAAAAGAGAGGAAGGGGGAAGGAAGAAGGAGAGAGGAGGGGGAAAAGGAGGGUGUACAAGGGUAAACCUGAAUACGUGUAUUCAGCUGAAAGUAAUGUACGAAUAAGGAUCGGCUAACUCCGUGCCAGCAGCCGCGGUAAUACGGAGGAUUCAAGCGUUAUCCGGAUUUAUUGGGUUUAAAGGGUGCGUAGGCGGAUUGAUAAGUUAGAGGUGAAAUGUCCGAGCUUAACUCGGGAACUGCCUCUAAUACUGUUGAUCUAGAGAGUAGAUGCGGUAGGCGGAAUGUAUGGUGUAGCGGUGAAAUGCUUAGAGAUCAUACAGAACACCGAUUGCGAAGGCAGCUUACCAAUCUAUAUCUGACGUUGAGGCACGAAAGCGUGGGGAGCAAACAGGAUUAGAUACCCUAGUAGUC